UCCAGACUCCUACGGGAGGCAGCAGUGGGGGAUAUUGCACAAUGGGGGGAACCCUGAUGCAGCGACGCCGCGUGGGUGAAGGAGCGUUUCGGCGCGUAAAGCCCUAUCGGCAGGGAAGAAGGAGGACGGUACCUGACUAAGAAGCCCCGGCUAACUACGUGCCAGCAGCCGCGGUAAUACGUAGGGGGCAAGCGUUAUCCGGAUUUACUGGGUGUAAAGGGGGCGCAGACGGCAGCGCAAGCCAGGAGUGAAAGCCCGGGGCCCAACCCCGGGACUGCUCUUGGAACUGCGCGGCUGGAGUGCAGGAGGGGCAGGCGGAAUUCCUGGUGUAGCGGUGAAAUGCGUAGAUGUCAGGAGGAACACCGGCGGCGAAGGCGGCCUGCUGGACCGUGACUGACGUUGAGGCUCGAGAGCGUGGGGAGCAAACAGGAUUAGAUACCCCAGUA
rnacentral:rRNA from 1 species